GUGAGUGUGUGUCUGGAAUUACUUUUUGUCCUUAAGAAGUUAUUGCUUCCUCUUUUUUUCCAAACAAGUAAGAACUAAAUUGAAAAGAUGAAUAACCUAGAGCAUUGCUUAAAAAGGCAAAAUUUAUAGCAAACCCAAAAUAUAAAAUGUGCACAUUUUGAAGAUGAACAAUAUAAGAGCACUUUAAAAAUCAAAUCUGUUCAAUAUCACCCCUCCCCAAGUCAAAGCAUCUGAGUUGAUACCCAUUUGUUGGUAAAUUUAAGAGUAAAGGCAUACCAAAGAAUGCAAUACACAUGUUGAGAUUUCGGGGGAAAAAUCAAAUCAGGUUGAAUUAUAAAUUUGCUAUGUAAAUUCAAGUAUCUGGUAUCACUGUAGUAAAGAAGUUAUACUGUUUAAAUUUAUCCAAAUUCAAUAGGAAUAGAUUAUUUUCUUUAAAGAUUGACGUAUUCAUUUAGUAUACCUUGUUUUCAAACCCAAGAUCCUCUAUUUUCGCCUUGAAUCAAAUAUUGAGUGUACUCUCCUAGCUCUCAUAAAAUUUUCAAAGAACAUCAUUUCAGCAGACCCCGUCAUUACAUCUUCUGGAUUAUUUGCUUUCUGUAGCCCAAGAUUCAACUCCUUUUUGUUUUGCUUUUCUCCCCAAAUUCACUCUGAUAUAUUGUAAAGCUCUCCCUCCUAAGAAAGGUCUGUAGUGUCUCACGGGGGUCUUGCAGGUGGAGUGUGCUAAAUAGAGGAGCAGAGAGCACACUGUUCUUGUUUGCCUUUUUCCCCAGGUGCAAGUGGUGAAAGAAAGAAUGCGUUGUUAGGGCAUGUUCAUCCUAAGACCCUGAUGAAGAAAGACUCCCUUCGAAAAGCCGCUUCACACAGCUCUAGUCAAUUUGAUAAUAAAAAGGGGUAGCUCACAAUAUUUGGAGAGGUUAUCUGACAGUGUGUCAUAUAUUAAAGGGAUACAUUUACAAACCUAGCGGCCAUCAAGCAAAGGAAUAUUCUCUGAGAAACAUCUGCCCUCAUCCAAUGAGUAAGCAACUAACGCUGCUUUCUCAGUAAGAGAGGUUAAGCUUCCUUCUAGUCGAUCCUAAAAAGGCACAGCUGAGGAGUUAGGAUGUCUUUCAAACUCUUACGUGAGCUUGGAUAUGGUUGGUUCACAGUGCCAGAAGUCUAAUUCUAAUCUGCAACUGGAAGACUGUGAUAAACUCCUAACUAAUAUCUCUAUAAAU
rnacentral:lncRNA from 1 species